rnacentral:rRNA from 1 species
CCUGCCCUACGGGAGGCAGCAGUAGGGAAUCUUCCACAAUGGACGAAAGUCUGAUGGAGCAACGCCGCGUGAGUGAAGAAGGGUUUCGGCUCGUAAAGCUCUGAUGGUAGUGGAGAAAGAUAGAGGUAGUAACUUGCCUUUAUUUGACGGUAAUUACUUAGAAAGUCACGGCUAACUACGUGCCAGCAGCCGCGGUAAUAAGUAGGUGGCGAGCGUUUUCCGGAUUUAUUGGGCGUAAAGCGAGUGCAGGCGGGUC